rnacentral:rRNA from 1 species
UACGUAGGGUGCAAGCGUUAAUCGGAAUUACUGGGCGUAAAGCGUGCGCAGGCGGCUUUGCAAGACAGAUGUGAAAUCCCCGGGCUCAACCUGGGAACUGCAUUUGUGACUGCAUGGCUAGAGUACGGUAGAGGGGGAUGGAAUUCCGCGUGUAGCAGUGAAAUGCGUAGAUAUGCGGAGGAACACCAGUGGCGAAAGCGACUCUCUGGUCCUUAACUGACGCUGAGGCGCGAAAGCAUGGGGAGCGAACGGG